AACGAACGCUGGCGGCAGGCUUAACACAUGCAAGUCGAACGCCCCGCAAGGGGAGUGGCAGACGGGUGAGUAACGCGUGGGAAUCUACCCUGAUCUGCGGGAUAGCUCCGGGAAACUGGAAUUAAUACCGCAUAUGUCCUGAGGGACAAAGAUUGAUCGGUUCAGGAUGAGCCCGCGUCCGAUUAGCUAGUUGGUGGGGUAAAGGCCUACCAAGGCGACGAUCGGUAGCUGGUCUAAGAGGAUGAUCAGCCACAUUGGGACUGAGACACGGCCCAAACUCCAACGGGAGGCAGCAGUGGGGAAUAUUGGACAAUGGGCGCAAGCCUGAUCCAGCCAUGCCGCGUGAGUGAUGAAGGUCUUAGGAUUGUAAAGCUCUUUCACCGGGGACGAUAAUGACGGUACCCGGAGAAGAAGCCCCGGCUAACUUCGUGCCAGCAGCCGCGGUAA
rnacentral:rRNA from 1 species